rnacentral:ncRNA from 1 species
GGUACGCACGGCGACUGGCGUACGCGGAACGGACCGCGGGGAAGCCGUGCGGGGAACAACAGCACGAGGUGCCGCCCGCCUGGGCACCCCGG